rnacentral:rRNA from 1 species
AACGAACGCUGGCGGCAUGCCUAACACAUGCCAGUCGAACGAGACCUUCGGGUCUAGUGGCGCACGGGUGCGUCACGCGUGGGAACCUGCCCUUAGGUUCGGAAUAACUCCCCGAAAGGGGUGCUAAUACCGGAUAAUGUCUUCGGACCAAAGAUUUAUCGCCUUUGGAUGGGCCCGCGUUGGAUUAGCUUGUUGGUAGGGUAAAAGCCUACCAAGGCGACGAUCCAUAGCUGGUCUGAGAGGAUGAUCAGCCACACUGGGACUGAGACACGGCCCAGACUCCUACGGGAGGCAGCAGUGGGGAAUAUUGGACAAUGGGCGAAAGCCUGAUCCAGCAAUGCCGCGUGAGUGAUGAAGGCCUUAGGGUUGUAAAGCUCUUUUACCCGGGAUGAUAAUGACAGUACCGGGAGAAUAAGCACCGGCUAACUCCGUG